AUUGAACGCUGGCGGCAGGCCUAACACAUGCAAGUCGAACGAGUGGCGGACGGGUGAGUAAUGUCUGGGAAACUGCCUGAUGGAGGGGGAUAACUACUGGAAACGGUAGCUAAUACCACCUACCCUCGGAUGAGCCCAGAUGGGAUUAGCUAGUAGGUGGGGUAAAGGCUCACCUAGGCGCCGAUGACUAGCUGGUCUGAGAGGAUGACAAGCCACACGGGAACUGAGACACGGCCCAGCCCACUAGGGUAGGCAGCAGUGGGGAAAAUGGCAAAAGGGGCGAAAGCUGGAGGCACCCUUGCCGUGUGUAUGAAGAAGGCCUACGGGUUGAAAAGUACUUUAAGCGGGGAGGGGUUACCCGCAGAAGAAGCACGGCUAACUCCGUGCCAGCAGCCGCGGUAAUUC
rnacentral:rRNA from 1 species